AUAUAACUCUUUAUUGCAUUUGAUAUAAUUAAGGAGAAAUUUCUAAUAUAUAUGGCUGGAUAUAAUGUUUGCUUCACUAGGUUUCUGGUGAUAUUGUUUUGCCUAGUACUCCUCAUUUCAUCAACUGAUGUUAAUGGUGUGAAGGAUGGUAUUUGCAAGAAAUUUAGUGCAACAUUUAGUGGACAAUGUUAUGAAUCUGCUCAUUGUGAAGAAACAUGUGUGAAGGAGGGAUCUCCAUCUGGAGAAUGUGAAUGGAAAGGAAUUCAUUGGGGAUAUGUUUGUAUGUGUGAAUAUUUCUGCUAAAUAUCAUGAAAUAAUAAUGUUGGAUCAAAUAAAAUAAUUAAAUAUAUGUAAUAUUAAAAACCUGUUCUUAUUAUAAAAAGGUGAAUAAUACUUGGGUUUGUUAAUAAAUAAAGAAAUAAUAAUAAUGGUGUAUCUUUUUUGUAUAUACUAUGUAGUUCUACAUAAAAUGUAGUUUGUUUGUUUGAAUUUGAGAAAAGACAUAAAGUCUCCCCUAACUUGUCCGAUUUUUUUAAAAAGACACCUAGACUAUAUAGGCGAUCUAUUACCUCACGAAAAUUACCUAUACCGUUGUAAAUACACCAUUUUGAUCAAAAUUUUGCCUAUGCGUGUAGACACGCAAAGGAGGCGCGUGAAUGCUUAAAAGUUGACUGAAAUAACCAAUUAUAAGAUGGCACGUGUAAUUUAUUUCUCAAUUAUUUUAAAAAUCCCUUCUUCCCCACUUUAAAUACCUGAUUCUCUCUUCCUCCAUUGAUAUAGCCGUUGGCUAUUUUGAAGAAAAAAAUUAUCUCUCUUCUCAAACUUUUCUCAACAAAAUCAACCUUAAAAGGUAGGAUGUUUUCAUUUAUGUUGUAAUUUCUAAACAAGAUCAGCCGUAAAAGCUUUAGUUUCGUCUCAAUUUUCUUAAUUUUUUUGAAAUCAAGUUAAAUUUUGUGAUUAGGUUUUGGGGAAAAUAGUUUUAUAAUGUCAAAUGCAAUCUUGAAUCGUAUUUGUAAUGACGAGAACAAUCCCAUGUUGCGUGUAAAAAUAUGAUGCAAAUAUGGAGACUUACUGUCAAUGCAAACGUCAUGAUCGGAGGAUAACUCGUCUAGAAGAUUUUGGUCUUGUCUACACUAUCGUGAGAAAUCAUGUAACUUUUUUAGAUGAAGAGACCCAGAAAAGACUGAUUUACGAUCCAAGACAGUUAUUCCAAGAUCGGCGAAGAGAAUCAAGGAGUUGAAAGAAGCAUUGGUAUUUUAUGAAAGUAAUGAAAAAUGGGUGGUGAAGGAGGAGAAGAAGAUCAAAUGUUGUAAUUGGAAUCUCAUCGUCAUGAUUGUCGUGGUGUUUUUUCUAUUUUUGGACAAGCAUUACCAAGAGGACGGAUGAGAAAUGUAGUU